UUUCUUACUGUAUGACAUGUUUAUGAAUUGUUUUAAAUGGCUCUCAUAUAUGUUGAUUAUAAAUGAUUAUUUUGGAUUUGCUCUGCAUACUAGUACAUCUGUAUUGACCCCCCUCCUCCCUCCAAGUUCUGAGGUUCAGUCUACGAGUCCAGAUAAGCAGUAGAUAUUUCUGACAGGUGAUCAGAUUGUGCAGUAGUGAGCCUUCUCUAUUCCAGAAGCCUUUCUUUUCAGAUCAUGACACUUGUUUCAGUUUUGGUCUACUGUAGGCCUUGUCCCAGCUUUAGACUGUCGUCAAAUUUUCAUGUAGUAGACAUUUUGCAGACUGAGUCAGAUGAUGUUUAAAUAUUGUUGGAGUUUUCCUUCAUUGUUAAAUUAAUUUCAGA
rnacentral:lncRNA from 1 species